GUACACUCCUACGGGAGGCAGCAGUGGGGAAUUUUGGACAAUGGGCGAAAGCCUGAUCCAGCAAUGCCGCGUGAGUGAAGAAGGCCUUCGGGUUGUAAAGCUCUUUUGUCAGGGAAGAAACGGUGAAAGCUAAUAUCUUUUGCUAAUGACGGUACCUGAAGAAUAAGCACCGGCUAACUACGUGCCAGCAGCCGCAGUAAUACGUAGGGUGCAAGCGUUAAUCGGAAUUACUGGGCGUAAAGCGUGCGCAGGCGGUUUUGUAAGUCUGAUGUGAAAUCCCCGGGCUCAACCUGGGAAUUGCAUUGGAGACUGCAAGGCUAGAAUCUGGCAGAGGGGGGUAGAAUUCCACGUGUAGCAGUGAAAUGCGUAGAUAUGUGGAGGAACACCGAUGGCGAAGGCAGCCCCCUGGGUCAAGAUUGACGCUCAUGCACGAAAGCGUGGGGAGCAAACAGGAUUAGAUACCCGAGUAGUCCCAUGAU
rnacentral:rRNA from 1 species